CCUACGGGAGGCAGCAGUGGGGAAUAUUGGACAAUGGGGGCAACCCUGAUCCAGCCAUGCCGCGUGAGUGAAGAAGGCCCUAGGGUUGUAAAGCUCUUUCAGUCGUGAAGAUGAUGACGGUAGCCCGAGAAGAAGCCCCGGCUAGCUCCGUGCCAGCAGCCGCGGUAAU
rnacentral:rRNA from 1 species